GUUCCCCAGUCCAAGGCCAAGGUCUGGAUGCCUUGUCCCAGCACUGCAGGCUCCACUCCUGCUUGCUUAAGAUCCAGCAUGAGGAAGGAGCAGACACCUCACACCUCCUUCCAGAUCAGAUGAUUCCCUGCUGACCCCCGAAUUUGCUGAAUGUGGUUUGGAAAGAAGGGAAGUUAACCCUUCUGGAAUGUUCCUUCAGAGCCCAUGGCAUCUUAUGAAGUAGGAUGCUCACAAAACUUUGGAGCACUACACCAGGGAGGAGAGGCCUGGAUUGGUCCUUUGUCUGCAGGGGCUGUGUCCUUGAGCCCGGACCGGGUCCUUGAGCAUGGACAAAUCUUGCUUCACUUCUUUGGAUAUCAUUUGUAAGACAACAAGGUGAGCUCUCAUUAUCUUCUCAUAUGAGAUGGGAACAGCAUCAGGUUGUGGGCUUGCUGUAGAGUGAAAUCAGCUCAUCUGGAUGUGGUGCUCAGAGCAAAGUCAAGCACACAGUGAUCACUCACUGUUGUUUAUCUGCUCUCAGUUUCUGUGACUCUUCUCACAGAACACCCUCUCUGACAGCAGACACGGACUCCUGGAGACUUCUGAGCUGGCUAGCUACAUGAGCUUCUCUUUCCUUCCAUCCACAGUUUGUGAAAUUUGGCCAUCAUGGAACUUUUAAUUGGAAGAGCAAGGAGUCAGUCACUAAAUGGGUGUCCCCUGGAUUUGUACUGUCCAGACCCCAGAGGUUUGACAAUCUGUGGCAAAUUGAUUUGACAGAUGUGUAUUGAUGGCAAUUUCUCAGUGAGCACUGUGAUAAAUUAAUUAAUCACUGGGCAAUUUAAUCUAAUUGAAUGCUCCUGCUGCACACAGAAAAGUUCUCUUUAUAAUCCUUGAAUCUGCCCAGUUUAAAUUAAGUCAAUUAAAAUGCUCUGUUCCUAACCACUUUUUCCAAUUGAACAUACCUAAAUGAACACAAUACCCUGCAGGGCAGCUUUCUGUUAUGAGUUUGUGUCUCUUUAAUGUCCUUAGGUUAAUCAUUUUCAGUCACUGUUUGAGCUACUUUCUGCCAUUGCCUUGAAAAGCAUUUGCAGUUCAUUUGCAGGUUGCUGAGGGAAGCUGAUGAGGUGGACAUAAAAAAUGGGAGCGAAGAUCAUGAGGUCCUUGUUGAGGACUAGCAAACAAUGUUGCUCAGUGUUGUUGACCAACAGGUCACCAGUGAAAGGAGCAGUGUCAGGGCCAGUGGAGUCUCCUGUCAGCUGUUUAUGAAACAGGAGUUCCAGGAAUGUACGGAAACAAGCAGAUGGUGCAAUCCUGGGUGGACAAGUUGUUGACCCAAGGGCUCCUUUGUCUCCUGGAUCUCUGAGAAAUGACCAACUUCAUUAGCUCUGUCCUCCCCCAGAAAGCCCUAAAUGCAUGUGCAAACAGAGUGCCGCUCUUCAGAUAGCCUGAGAGUCAGGGCCAUGGUUAGCACAAUAAGCCCAAAUAGCUUGUCCCCUUCCUUCACAAUUUGGAGUCACCUCUUGCCUGAGCAGGGCAAGUGGGUUUUGGUCAAACACUAUGAGGGACUUGGGGUAGGGAGGCAGCCUUUUGAGGAGGGGGGUGGGGCUCAUCAGAGAUCCAAGCAAGGCUUGAAUCAGAAGCCAAGGUCACUGCAGCUGAUAGAUAAUGUAGUCAGUAGUCCUUGGAGCAGAAUAUGAGCUCCAAGUAGCUGGAAGUUCAGGGGUGCAGCAGAGUGCAGGUAUUAGCCAUUCUCUCUUCAACAAGCGUGCAGUCUAGCCUGAAAUGGCACUCCGGCUUUCCCCUCACUCUUUUGUCUUUUAAAAACUCUCCUUAGGAAGCUCUUUCUAUGGUGAAAACACAAGUACAUGCUUCUUUCUCUGAGCCAUCUGCAAGGACCCAUCCAGUACAACAAGGCCAUUGCCUCUGUGUUGCCACUGAUGGGAACAAAUGGCUUCAUGUUUUGCCAAGUAGAGAGCUGGAUAAGUAAGAGUUGGGUAAGGUGAGGGAGUACAGGCCUGGGUGAUCUGGCACCAAGCCUACAUUCCUCUCCUGCUGCAGCCUCUGAGCCACUGGAGCUACUUGGUCCAUCAGGUGAUGGAAACUGGCAGGUUAGAUGCUAACUUCCCAGGAGAUCUUUCGUUUUUUUAUGCUCUGAGGAUAUGCGAAGAUAAGGGUUGGCCUCUUCCUGAUGCUUCACUUUAGAAAAAGCAAAGAGAGUUUCAAGUGUUCCACUGGGGUUGGGAACCUGAGUUAUUGAUUCAAGUGUUCCACUAGGGUUGGGAUGUGAGUAACAGAUUGUCUUGCAGCUGAUUUCUAGAGAUGAUAGCCCUGGCAAGAGGCAGCUUCUAACUCUCCUGUCCUUAUCACCGACUCACACACCAGCUUUAGGGAUUCUUGCCCAAUGAAAGCCUGCAAGCAUUUUAGUCCUUUGGCUUGCUGAGCAGCACCACCAAGAGACAACUGUUCCAGAUGCUGGGCUCCCAAAGACUGAUAGUUAAGAGAAGAAAACAGCAUCUCAGUAGCAGAUAUUCAGGACAAGUGUCUGCUGUCACUGUGAACUCUCAAAAAGAUUGCAGCUGCCAUGUCACUGGGAAUAUUGGAGGAAGAAACAGAUGGUGGAAGAAACUGUGGAUUUGCCCUGAAAGCUGCUGUGUUGGCAAGGUGAAAUUGAAUAUAAAGAUUGGGCUUUUCUCUUUCUUUCUUUCUUUCUCUUUCUUUCUUUCUUUCUUUCUUUCUUUCUUUCUUUCUUUCUUUCUUUCUCCCCCCCCCUCUCUCUUUUGUAAAGUUGAAGAGACCAGCUCCAGCUCCCCAUUUCGGCAGCCAUAACAGCCUAACACAUGCUUGCCUGACCUUGCCUUGGUCACUAGGAGGUCAGAUGCUGGCCUUGUGGCAAGGAACCAAUCAGAAGUUAGCUGGUGGUGCUAUGCUUUAUGGCUCUGGGUGUGCUUUAUGGACAAGUGCACAGAAAUGAGGUGAAGAGCAUAGCAACCCCCCUGGGAGGGUCUAUAGGCCAUAACAACCAGUUGACCAAUCAACACAGGGCAACUCCUCCAAGCCUGGAGGCACACCAAUCCUGAGCCUGUGUGUACCCCUAGACAUUCCCCUUACACUUCCCUAUAAGAUCUUUGUCCUGUGGUUUCUCCAGGCCUUUUCCCAGCCAUCUGCCAUGAUGGAUGGAUGAAAGGCCUGAGCUAAUGGGGUUAGCUCGUUAAACACUGCAAUAAAGCCUCUUGCUGUUUGCAUCAAGCUUUCGCCUCCACCUGGUGAUUGGGAUCUCUGCGGUCCUGGGUGGACAUCCUGGAGGCCUGAGCCUUUGGGGGUCUUUCAAAGUGUCUUUCAUUGGAGUAGAGUUAGGUUCAAAAAACAAACAAAUAAACUUAAAGCUUAAAAGGUGAAGUAGGCUCAUAUGCAACAGGAAUAUAAACUCAAAGGCACCCAAAGGAAUAUGCACCAAACAACAGAUAGUCAACAAAGUUAUUCAGUUUUUUAAAAUGUAUGGAGGCAGGAAAUCAUUUCAUCUUGGUUACUUAGAAGAGCAUAAAUGACAAUAUACAGGCACAUAUGUACACACUCAUAUGCCUACGCACACAUAUGUACAUCCUUGCACACAUACACAUACACUCACAUACAUACUGUUGUGUCUGUUGUGCCCAGACUCUGAAUGCCCCCGAGUUAACUGGAAUUAACUUGGAUCCUCUGUCCCUCUGACAAAACAGGUGGAACAGGGGGGACCCCGAGAAGCAGUAGGGCAGGGAAUAUAUUGAGGUAGAGCAAGGGGAGUACCUAGGGGUCCACUAGUUGCAUAGCAACAAUCUCAGUAUUGGUGCACUUUCGGGCUUGGUCAACCUGCCCUAAGUUGAUUGGUCCAUUGCAGCUGCAGAAAGGUUACUAUGCUUAGAGGCCCUCCCAGAGUGGUUGCUAUGCUCUGCAUUCCACUAUUAUCAGUAAAGCACAUCCAGAGCCCGCCAGCUAACUUCUGAUUGGUUCCUUACCACAGGGAGGGCAAGGUUGGGCAAAGUCAGACAAGGUGGGGAACUUAGCACAUGUUGCUGAGUCAGGGGCCUAUGUCUUGCUGGGUCUCUUCUGCAGCCUGUCAUGGCUGCCAAAGCAGGGGGCUGGGAGAGGGUCUCGGCCCUUCAGUACACACAUAGAUGUGUAUGCACUCACAAAAUAUACACGCACACAUGUAAAAACCCACAGUUUUCUCUUUAUAUAUAUUAUGAUUUAAUAAUAAUAAUUCUUUUAAGUAAAUUACUCCUGUACACUUUCUCUUGUGUCUUAUGGGUAUUUUGUAAAAACAGCUGUGGACCAAAUGCACGCAGCUCUUAUCCAGAUGUAAGAGGGGAUGAAUGUAGUCAGGGAUGGUCUCUGUGUCAAGAACAAGAACCAGAUGUUGCAGCAGUUGAGCUUGUGUCACCACCCCGCUCACCCACAGUAUUCUUCUGCCUUCAGAAGUCUGUCCUUCUGUCUGUUUAGGAGCUAUGCCACCCUUCUCGAUCCUCCUCCUUUCAUUUCACUUGCAUGUUUCCUUUUAGAUAAAGGCCAAGGAAACUGCUCACAGGUGCUGUUACCGACAUUUGUAACACUGUUUUGGCGCUCCUGCUGAAAGGGGAAAACUAAACUCAAAGGCUUCACUUCUAAUGAUUUAGAAAGAAAGGGACUUAAACCCUCACUCAGCCUGCUUUAGCAGCCAUGACAGGCUAUAGAAAAGACAUGUAGGCCUCUGACUCAAGGAAGCUCCAGAUCUUCUGGCCUCCUGGAGCCUAGGGCCAAAACUGAACACAAAGAAACUCCAGACCCCUGCACCCCCACCCCCAGCCUCCUAGGUGCUUGGUUCCUGGGAACUGUUUGGCCACAAAAGAAACUCAAGGGGAGACCAAAACCUCCCCUAUAGUCUCCAGGAUACAGUUCUAAAAACUAUUGGUAUCUAUGCACAACAGGCCACCUGCAAGUAAUAAGACAAAGCCAUAGAAACCACAGAAUGUUCCCUCUCAGCACUGACCAAUGACAAUACCUGGUACACAGUUAUUUCAUGACAAAAUAUGACUUUGAGAAAUUUUCCUGAUUGUUCCUAAAUGUCAACCAAUCAGAACCAAGCCAUACCUACUGAUGUAAUCCUGUAACUUUUGUCUUUAAAACUUAGCGGUAGACAGGGAACUUCACCCCCUCUGGAGGCUGCUGUGUCAGCUUGCUAGACCGGGUCCCUCCGGCAGUAGGAUAGGCAAUUUAAUAAACCUCGUGCAUUUGCAUUGGUGGUCUGCCUCCCUCGUCUCUUUGGGGAUCCUUGUGACUCAGGCACAACACUGCAUUUUGGUAAGCUAUUGUGGAAGUUCUCUUGUGUCACAGAUGGUAAUAAACAGAAUGGCUUCUUACUCAGAGCCCUUAGCCAGACACUUGGGGCAAGUUCUGUCUUGAACAAUCUCCAUGUUGCUAUUUAGAAGAUAAUGGAGGACAUAGAAUAAACUACAAAUUAAAGUUAAAACCAGAGAGAGAAAUUUAAAUGUUACAAAAAUACAAUCAAAACAGUAGAAACAGGUAAAGGGAUGAAUAUUUUCUAAGACAGGAAGACAAAGGCAUAUGAGAAGGAAACAUAGUAUACAUUAAAAAAAAAAAAACAGACAGAAUGUAGGUAGCAGGAGAGGGUUAAAACAACAUCUGAAGGUGAGUGCAGAACCACAAGUAGAAAAUAUUCUAAGAACGUGAGAAGGAAAAGGAAGAAUUUAAAGUCAGCACGCCUUUAAUCCCAGUACUUGGGAGGCAGAGGCAGGUGGAUCUCCGUGAGUUGGAAGCCAUUCUGGUAUACAGAGCUACACAGAGAAACCCUGUCUCGAAAUAUCAAAAAAGAAAAAAAAAAAGAAUAAGAAAGAAAGAAAAAGGAAGAAUUUAGAAUCACAAAGAAGUAGUAAGAUGGAAAGGCAAAAAGAUUAAAAAAGAAGUCAUGUAUAAAAGAUGAGUAUUAAAUAAUUAAAUUUUUACUCUCAAAUAAAUGCAGGCUUGAAGAUUAAAAGAUAGUAAACAUGAACAUAGAACAGUUCAGAGUGAUGUCAGUGAGAUGUCUGUAAACAAAACUGACAGCCAUUAAAUGUGCUUUUAAAACAGCAUGUUCUACAUACUAGAAUAUAUGACUGAAUUAACUGUAAGACAAAAGUGAAAUGGCUGACAUCAGAGGCAUGAGUCCUCUGCCUUGGCAGUCUUCUAGCUGAGUUGACAUGCCAUAGUGUAGAGUCUCCAAGUAAAAGGCCAAGGUCCCUAAUAGGAGCAGGAGGGGUGUUCCCAGCAAUGAGUCCAUCAGGUGUUUUAACUGUAGGCAAGGUGCAAGGGUAAGGACAUAAGGUUCAGGUUCUCGUCUCAAGGCCUUACAAGGGACAAAAUGGCAGCUAAGAGGCCUGUAUACCAUGAGGAAGUAGUGAUUGGGAGACUUGAUUUCUUAUGUAUAUGUGUGUUUAUUGAAGGGACCAGCUCCCCAUUUCGGCAUCCAUGACAGUAACACGUGCUUGCCAUAACCUUGCCUUGGUCACUUAGUGGUCAGAUGCUUGCCUCGUGACAAGGAACCAAUCAGAAGUUAGCUGGUGGCGCUAUGCUUUAUGACCCUGGGUGUACUUUAUGGACAAGUGCACAGCAAUGACGCACAGACCAUAGCAACCACCCUGGGAGGGCCUAUGGGCCAUAACAACCAGUUGGCCAAUCAACACAGGGCAAGCCCUCCAAGCCUGGAGGCACACCAAUUGUGAGCCUGUUCGUACACCUAGACACUCCUCUUACGCUGCCUUACAAGAUCUCUCGGCAGUCGGUUCAAACUGUCUUUUGUAGCUAACCGCCAUGGUGGGUGGACAAAAGACUUGAGCUAACAUGGGAUUAGCUCAUUAAAUUACAAUAAAGCCUCAUGCAGUUUGCAGCAAGCUCUUGAAUCUGCCUGGUGAUUGUGGUGACUGCGGUCGUGGCCUGGGACCCCGGAUACAUGAGUUUUCCGGGGGUCUAACAUUUAUAUGUGUGUGUUCAUAUGUUUGUGGAUACACAUUUGUACUCAGGUGUGUGUCUGUGCAUGUAGAGGCCAGAAGUUGACUUUGGGUGUUGUUUCUUGGGUGCCACCCACCUUUAUUAUUUUCUAGACCAUCUCUCCCUGACUUGUAGUUCAUCAACUAGGCUGGACUGGUUGCCAGUGGGCCCCAGGAUCACCUCUUUCCACUCUCCUAGUGAGAGGAUUGUAAGUAACACAAUGCCUGUUUUGUUUUGCUGUUGUUUUGUUUUGUUUUCACACAGGCUCUGGCCUGUGGAGGUCUUUAUGCUUGCACGGAAAACACUUCACUGACUGAUAUGUAUAUCUGACCUGAGGCAUUUGGUGUCUGUGUCCUCUGGAAAGCCAACUGUGCAGAGUAGACCAGAAUAAAGUGUCCAAAUAUUCUGUUUCUUUGAGGUUGUGAUGCACUCCUGCUUACGUGGGGGAGGGAUGGCUCAGGUUUUUGCCUUAUAAAUGAGCAGUAGGAACAUUUGAGCUAGUGGGACAGCUGGGGAGUUCCAUGCUGCAAAGCUGGAGUUCCCUGAGAAAAAUUGGAUGCUCAGUGUUGAAGGAAGCAACUGAAAGAAUGCAUAGCUCUAUAGUCAAAGUGAUCCACUCAUGGGUGGGGGCUUGGGAGCACAUCCAUCAACAUGUCAUCAAUAGUCCUAACCGAUGUACUUCUCUCUCCAGAGGCCAGGAAGUGUGUUCUCACUGUAUCUGGAACCCUUGUGGUCUGUAAGGAAGGAGGAAAUAAAUACACGAUUGAACAAAUUGUACUACAAGGUGUGCCUUUUACAAGACUUGGUGAAACAAUAAAUCCAUAGAAGGCAUGUGUCAAUAUCCUACAAUGAAACCAUGCAACAACAUUCAACGACGUUGAGUAUAUACAAACAGAAAAGGAGGCUGCCCAGAGGCCCCAGAACUCCUGCCACUCGAAGGACUGCUAAGACCCAAAUGUCAUCAGGUGUGUUUGAAGCUACAUUUGGCAGAAGGUCUUUGACUGUUGUGAUUUUGAAACAUUUAUUUCAUAAAACAAAAUGAAGAGUCCUCUCCUUACACCCCCAAAUCUGUAGAUUUUAUUUUUGGUGCAAUGACAACAGCUUAAAAAGGACCAUCACUUGAGUUAGUUUUGAAAUGUUGCUUUUCUCCGUGGUCGGGGUAAUAGCUUCUCUUCUACUCCUGCAGCUGAGUUUGUGAAGAUGAUUCAUGAAACAAGAAAGGAUAGCCAGGGUCAAAGUCAGCUGUCUUUCCUGCCAGGAAUGAAAAUCCACAGCAUUUUCUAUUUUUAUAUGAAAGCACAGCUAUGUUUUAUGAUUUUUAUGGCCUUUGAAGACAGCUUCUUAAUUUUGGUAUAGAAAUUAAAACUAACCACAUAGUUUUAUGCCAUUUUGAUUCCAAAGCAGUUACUGUUUAUUUUCACUCAUGUAUUUACCCGUAAACAUUUACUGAAUAACUACUAUCUGCUAGGUAUCCCUCAAAGAACUUCAAAGACAGACCCAGGAGCAAAAUAGCUGGCAAGAACAACAAUGAAUGGUGGUGAAGCAGAGAAUGGCUGUGGGUGGUGGUUUUUUAUAAUGUGGUUCUCUGGGGGUAAAGGAAUAUUUGUGAAUAAGAUCUAAAGUAAGGGAAGGAGUGAGUCAUGCAGGUAUGUGGUUUCUGGAUGGGGUACCAGGAAGGGGCAUGCGUUGAGGGUAUUCUGGGUGGGGGCAUGCGUUGAGGGUGAGGCAGGGACUGAAUGGCUAGAUUCAAGGGAACCGAGAAAAAUAGGUCAGAGAAGGGAUUAUGAUAGCCAUGUAGGGUCAAAAGGUAGGGCAGAUUAUUUCAGUAGCUUUAUUGACCACAUGAAUAUGUUAUUCUGAGUGUACUGGGAAGAUACUGUAGAGCUUAGUGGAAGAGUGGCAUAUCUGGGCCUGUGUUUUAAAAGUAUCAUGCCAGUCUGUAAGUUCGAGGCCAGCCUGGUCUACACAGUGAGUGCCAGGAUAGGCUCCAAAGCUACACAGAGAAGCCCUGUCUCGAAAAACAAAACAAAACAAAAAGUAUCAUGCCAGGUAGAAAGUGGCCUGGGCCCAGAUCAGAUUAUGGAAAUUUCCUGAGUCUAAGAAAGGCCACGUUUCUAAAAUACAGUAUAUGAAAGAGUAAAAUUAGGAGUGCUGAUGAGAUUUUCCAAUGUAGAAGAAUGAAAUAGACGUUUUGCCAAUCUGGGGAAGACCAUGAGUCAGUCUUUUGGGAUACAGUGCACAUUGCAAUGAAGAUGCUUAUCAGGAAAUUAAGCCCAUGAAUCCAGCCUUCAGGAAGGAGGCUGGGGUUGGAGAUGAAGAUGUGGCUUAUUCCAUUGUAGAGCUGAUUCUUAAGGCUCCAAGAUCGAAGAGAUUCAGCUAGAAAGGGGAUAUCCAGUACUAGCUGCUGGCACAUGCUCACACUGGCAAACGGGGAAGUCCAGUGCACAGGAGCUCUCUCGAGAAGCAUCUCCUGUCUGUCAAAAACCACUAUGCAGAGACCUGGUUGCUGCACUGGACAGGGAGACAGCCACUAAUACCCUUAGCAAAGCCACUACCCUGCGAUGAAAGGCUGAUUCAAAAUAGCUCAAAAGGCAAGGAAAGAAAUUUAGUUAAUGAGUAGACAGUUCCUCUGGGGGAGUUUUUCUUUGAAGGGGUGAAGACCAAUAGAUGGAAGGGAAAUGUCAUCAUGGGGCCAAGGAGAGGGUUGUACCACAGGACUGUAUCAUUACUGGGUGAAAUCCUACAAAGAAUGGGAGACAUUGGUAGUGCUAAUGGGAAGGGGGUGUGGGUGAAACAAUGACCUUUGUUUGGAAAGGAUGCAUAAGACACACCUGGAGCCAAUGAGAAAAACUCCCCACUAUCACUUAGGAGCUUCUAUAGUCAUUGAUAAUAGGUUUUACCAGAUAAGAUCAGGGAAAUGGGAAGCCAGGGUGUUUGUAUGUGUAAAUGGAGCAUUCAGAAGGGUAGUGCUGGAAAUGGCAGCGGGCCAAGGGCUGAACACAUGAGCAACACUGGAGAGUGACUGGGGGGGGGUUGGGGGUGGGGGCUCAGGGACUUUCUCAGUGGGUGAAAAAGCUUCAGAGAAGUGAGUAUUGGGAAGAGCAAGGGUGGGAUUUUGAUCUGGAAAUGGCAACGAGGCAUUAUCAUGUGUCUUGUUCCUAUUAAUACUUCAUCACACGCAUUUCCUCUGUGAUAAUGUAACAGCAGGUCUCAGGUUAUAGGUCUAGGGAGUCUUUGGCUUAGAGCUUACCUAAGUUUUCCCAACUGUGGCAGGAGCAUCUGUAGAAAAGACUUCUUGGAGAAUUGUUGUAUAGGUGAAGGAAAAGGCAUACUUAAAAAUAAAAGUUUCAACUGGAAGAAUUUUUUCGGGAAGCUAUGUAGGUAUAACUACAUCCAGUUUCACAGACUUUUAGCCAUUCAAAACAUGUUUUGAGAAUGAGAGGUUUAAAAAUGUAAACAAUCAUAGGCCCAGCAAAGGAAAAUUUUCCUUUCCACUAUUAUAGAUGCACUAUCUUUCUACAGCUGCACUAACGGUGUAAGACAGCUAAAAGGUCAAAAAGAAAAGUAUGUUUGUAACAUGUAGUUUCAAAAUGCACUUAGCUUGUUGUUCUUUCCCUCACGCUGACAGCCAACAUGUGAAAUUCUGACUUGGGAAAAUGUUUCAGAUUCCUUAAACAAACUACAGUAUGAUUUAACCUGGGGGAAGGGACAGGCAAAGGGGCAACUGAGGCAUGGAUAUUUGCUAGGAGCAAUAGCGAUCCACUGCUGGGGACCUCUUGCAUUCCUGUCAGCAUUUGCGAGCCCUUUGUUCUGCAAAGCAAUUUGCUGUCUCUAAGAGAUAAAUCAGCAAAACCAAACUCACACAGAGCGAGUGAGUGGCUACAAAGAUGAUUACACACAGUCAGAAGUUGGAACGCUCAGGGAGUUUUUUUUUUUUUUUUUUUUUUUUAUUUUCAAGUGUAUUUUCUAGAUUUCACCCAAAUGCCUAGCAACAUUUUGAUCUGACUUAAAACAGUGCAAACCUUAACCAGGGAUCAUCUGUUUAAAAACUUUUUGGGAGAUCUUUGUUGUUCUGCAUUGUGGGUGUUCAUGGACUGGAGUGUGCAGGAAAAUAAAGUUAAAAGCACAGGAUCCUGAUCUUGUUUAAUGUUGUGCAAAUUUUUGGAUCACACAAAUGUCUACAGAGAGAUUUCUGGAACAGUGACACAGUAUGGAAAUAAAAACCAACACUAGAAAAGACUUGGCAAAAAUGUAUGUGUUGUCAGCUCGGGACUUGAAAACUGUGAGGAGCUUUUACUCUUUGCUGGGCUCUGGAAAAGAGAUAAUGUUAUAGUCGCACUGUGUGAGACUCAUGGGAAGACAGCUCAUUUUAGGGUCCCCACUACUGCUGUAGUGAGCAAGGCCAAAUACAAUGGCAUUUAUGAGAAAUUCCAGCAGGUAAGUUAAAAAAAAAUAGACUUUAGGGGUUAAAUUUUGUGUUAUAAUGAUGUAGCCUCAGGGAAAGCAAGUUCUUGGCUCAUCAGAUGGUUUGUAUGUGUUCAGACAUUUAUAUUUAUUUUUUGGGGGAUGAACUAAAAGGUAAUCAAUAAUUUACAACUGUUGAGAUGGUCAGAACAUAGUACCAGAGUCUCUGGAGAGUUUGGAGCAGGGUAGAUUUUCUCAUGCUUUCCUGCAACACGCUGAGGUCAAAGUCUCAUCAACACCUCUCUCUUCUCUGUUAACAUUGAUGUCGAACAUCAUAUACUGUAAAGCAGUUAGCACGAAGGCAACGGUGCCUGUUCACACGGACUUUUCAAGACAGCACACACAGAGCAAUUGUGCAGUUUGAGGAUACAGGAACAAGAACUCAUACACACAGUAGCAGGAAAAGCAGUUUUUUAAAGAAAACUUUGUGGGCUGGGAAGUCAGACUUUGGCCCUUCUUUGUCAAUGGACAAUACCCAAAUGGCUCCGGCCUGGGUAUCACACCUCUUUCUAAACUACUGCACAGGAACAACCAGAGACACAAUGAUUAGUGCAUCACAAGAGCAGACAGGAAACUGUUAGAAGUAGAUGGUGACGACCAGAAACUACAAUGACCUUGAAAAAUGUGCACUUGAUACAAGGUCUGUUAGGUGUGUACCCCAGAAAAGAAUGGUAGUGUUAGAAGCAUGGGGCCUCAUCUAAGUGGCCUUGUGAGAGUUUGCCCUAAGAUUGAAUAAGAAUCAUAAUAAUACAAAAAGUCUAGGUCUUGAAGUUUGUUCAAAAUUCCCCAAGAAAAUCACUGAGCUCCAUCUCACUAGAGCUAUCAGGUUUCAUGUGGUACUUAAUAUAGUUGUUGCUUGAAUGUUGUGGGUUGGCUAUGUAUGAUCUGGAUGGAAUCCGUGUGGGAGGAUUCACAGUCCAUCCAUCUCCACCAUUCACUGGAUAUAGGAAUCCAAGCUACAAUGUCCUGGCCAGCACUUAAACACAAUGGUCUCUUCUAGGUUCCAUGUCAAAGCUGUGAUGUGACCAUGCUCAGUGGGUUUUCUGAAUGGUCAGCAAUUUAGUGGUGUUGAGGAUGGACAGGUCUACUAAAGCUUAAUCUUGGGGAAGGCUAUUCUUUCUUAUAGAAAAAAAGAAGUCUGCCUAAUUUCUAGUAACAAAAUCUUUUUAAAGGAACUAUCACAACAGAAGAAAUUUUAAAUUACAAUAGGUAAAGAGAUCACAUCCUCAGAAAAAAGCAAACAGAAGGAAACUCACCCCCUAGUGGGGACUGUAUGAUGAACCACAGGGGCACCAUUCUGAUAUAUUUUGCAUGACCAAGGUCUCAUGAUGUCAGGGUUGAGACCUGUCAUAAAUGCCAGAAUAUUUACUUUAGAAGAUUACUGCUUCAAGGAAUUCUAUAAAUGUAUUUUAAGGAGCAGAGAGUGGCGGGCCUCUUUUAAAAUUGGUUUUGUCUUAUGCUCAGUGCAAAAUAUUUGUACAAAAAUAUAAAAGGCAUGGCUUGAUGUUUAACGUCUGUGUUUUAUUUUGUUUUGUUGGCACCAGAAAAAGCUCAUGUUAUGUUAUGUCACUGUACAUACUGUAAACAAGACGGCAUUAAUAUGUUUUCUUAUGAUUUUUUGUUCCAAUGAAUCUAGAUUUUAAAAAAUACAUUCACAAACUACCUUAUGUUUAAACACAAUGAUUCCCUUUUAUUUCUUAACUGUACCCAAAGUCCCACAAUAAAAAAUCAUUUAAAGCUG
rnacentral:lncRNA from 1 species